rnacentral:rRNA from 1 species
CCUACGGGGGGCAGCAGUGGGGAAUAUUGGACAAUGGGGGGAACCCUGAUCCAGCCAUGCCGCGUGUGUGAAGAAGGCCCUCGCGUUGUAAAGCACUUUCAGUGAGGAAGAACGCCUGGUGGUUAAUACCCAUCAGGAAAGACAUCACUCACAGAAGAAGCACCGGCUAACUCCGUGCCAGCAGCCGCGGUAAUACGGAGGGUGCGAGCGUUAAUCGGAAUUACUGGGCGUAAAGCGCGCGUAGGUGGCUUGAUAAGCCGGUUGUGAAAGCCCCGGGCUCAACCUGGGAACGGCAUCCGGAACUGUCAAGCUAGAGUGCAGGAGAGGAAGGUAGAAUUCCCGGUGUAGCGGUGAAAUGCGUAGAGAUCGGGAGGAAUACCAGUGGCGAAGGCGGCCUUCUGGACUGACACUGACACUGAGGUGCGAAAGCGUGGGUAGCAAACAGGAUUAGAUACCCCGGUAGUC